UACGUAGGGGGCGAGCGUUGUUCGGAAUUACUGGGCGUAAAGGGCGUGUAGGCGGUGCGGUAAGUCGGGCGUGAAAUCCCCGGGCUUAACCCGGGGCGGUCGUUCGAAACUGCCGUGCUAGAGUGCAGGAGAGGGAAGUGGAAUUCCCGGUGUAGCGGUGAAAUGCGUAGAUAUCGGGAGAAACACCUGCGGCGAAGGCGGCUUCCUGGACUGCAACUGACGCUGAGGCGCGAAAGCUAGGGGAGCAAACAGG
rnacentral:rRNA from 1 species